rnacentral:rRNA from 1 species
UACGUAGGGGGCGAGCGUUGUCCGGAAUUAUUGGGCGUAAAGGGCUCGUAGGCGGUCUGUCGCGUCGAAAGUGAAAACCCAGGGCUUAACCCUGGGCCUGCUUCCGAUACGGGCAGACUAGAGGUAUGCAGGGGAGAACGGAAUUCCUGGUGUAGCGGUGAAAUGCGCAGAUAUCAGGAGGAACACCGGUGGCGAAGGCGGUUAUCUGGGCAUUGCCUGACGCUGAGGAGCGAAAGUGUGGGGAGCGAACAGG